AGUUUGAUCCUGGCUCAGAUUGAACGCUGGCGGCAUGCCUUACACAUGCAAGUCGAACGGCAGCACGGGGGCAACCCUGGUGGCGAGUGGCGAACGGGUGAGUAAUACAUCGGAACGUGCCCUGUAGUGGGGGAUAACUAGUCGAAAGAUUAGCUAAUACCGCAUACGACCUGAGGGUGAAAGCGGGGGACCGCAAGGCCUCGCGCUACAGGAGCGGCCGAUGUCUGAUUAGCUAGUUGGUGGGGUAAAAGCCUACCAAGGCGACGAUCAGUAGCCGGUCUGAGAGGACGAUCAGCCACACUGGGACUGAGACACGGCCCAGACUCCUACGGGAGGCAGCAGUGGGGAAUUUUGGACAAUGGGGGCAACCCUGAUCCAGCAAUGCCGCGUGUGUGAAGAAGGCCUUCGGGUUGUAAAGCACUUUUGUCCGGAAAGAAAUGGCUCUGGUUAAUACCCGGGGUCGAUGACGGUACCGGAAGAAUAAGCACCGGCUAACUACGUGCCAGCAGCCGCGGUAAUACGUAGGGUGCGAGCGUUAAUCGGAAUUACUGGGCGUAAAGCGUGCGCAGGCGGUUUUGUAAGACAGGCGUGAAAUCCCCGAGCUCAACUUGGGAAUGGCGCUUGUGACUGCAAGGCUAGAGUAUGUCAGAGGGGGGUAGAAUUCCACGUGUAGCAGUGAAAUGCGUAGAGAUGUGGAGGAAUACCGAUGGCGAAGGCAGCCCCCUGGGACGUCACUGACGCUCAUGCACGAAAGCGUGGGGAGCAAACAGGGAUUAGAUACCCUGGUAGUCCACG
rnacentral:rRNA from 1 species